GGAGAACCUGCGGCUGGAUCACCUCCUUUCUAAAAGAGAACACAUGGCACACUUAUUCCUUCCGCGAUGGCGGAGUCGCUUCGGCGAUCGGAUAGGUGUCCAUGCAAAUCCUGCUUCAGCCGGUUAAACGGCGGGUGCAGGAAAUUCGAUACGAGCUUCUUUUCCUGGCCGCAAAUUCUUACGAUCGUCAUAGGUAGCGUAGCUACUUAGCAUGUUCAACCUUUGUCCUCGAAACCCAUUAGCAUUGAAUGAGAUUUGGGCGAGCCGCCGGCACUUAUCGGCGGGGGAGCGCGCAACGCGGGCCUGUAGCUCAGUUGGUUAGAGCGCACCCCUGAUAAGGGUGAGGUCGGUAGUUCGACUCUACCCAGGCCCACCACUUAAGCCGCAGGCUCACAGAUUUUUGUGGGGCUGUAGCUCAGCUGGGAGAGCGCGUGCUUUGCAAGCAUGAGGUCACCGGUUCGAUCCCGGUCAGCUCCACCAACUCAUUCGCUGCUUCGAGAUCGGCGCCACCAUAAAGUGACGUCAAUCUGGAAGCAGGCUGAACCGGUUUCUGGUCUAGAGACCGGGUUUGGCAGGUUUCAACAGCCCCAGGGCUGGCCCACUUCGGCGAAAGAAGCGGGUUUGGAUGUUUGACAACGAAAUUGAUUGGGUAACGCGUUUGGAAAAUGCCGCUAGUCCGCCGUGAUGGCGUGCGAGGCGGCGCCAGAUUUCCAAGCACGUUUGAAUACAAGGCCGAGCACAAGCAAUUGAGUUAGCUAAGUUAGUAACUCAGGCAAGUGUUCAAGUAAGAAGAGUGUCUUUAGGAGAUAUGGUGACUGCACGCGUGAGCGCGCAAGACCAGUCUCAGAGGCGGAGAAUAGGUUAGCUCGCAAUCAGGACCGCAGUGAUGCGGCUCCCUGCACGGAGUUAAUUCUAUGGUCAAGCUACUAAGGGCGCAC
rnacentral:tRNA from 1 species